GCAAGGCCGGCGCAGAGGCCUCCGCCGCAAUGUAAGUCGUUCUUCUCUAAACCUGUGGACUGUAACUCCUUUAAGUGUAAACCAUUUGUUCCUUCACCUACACCUUCACCUGCAACACCGGUAACACCUUCACCUCCAUCACCUUCUACACCUUCACCUACUACCCCUGUAACUCCUUCACCUACGACACCUGUAACACCUUCACCUCCUUCCCCUUCAACACCUUCACCAUUUCCUUCACCUACAACACCUUCACCAUUUCCUUCACCUACGACACCUGUAACACCUUCACCUCCUUCCCCUUCAACACCUUCACCGUUUCCUUCACCUACGACACCUGUAACGCCUUCACCUCCUUCGCCAUUUCCUUCACCUACGCCACCUGUAACACCUUCACCUCCUUCCCCUUCAACACCUUCACCUACAACACCUUCACCAUUUCCUUCACCUACGACACCUGUAACGCCUUCACCUACGACACCUGUAACACCUUCACCUCCUUCGCCAUUUCCUUCACCUCCGUCAUUUCCUUCACCUACGCCACCUGUAACUCCUUCACCAGUACCUUCACCUCCAUCACCCACAACACCUUCACCUCCAUCACCUACAACAGUACCACCUGUUCAUAGUCCUUCUCCAGGGUAUUUGCCACCGCCGCCACAUUCUUCCCCUAUACCACCUGUGUACCCUCCACAACAUUCUCCACCUUCACAUACUCCAAAGCCACCUCCAUCAAAUUCACCAUCGCCCCCUUCUCCCCCCCAUCACUCACCCGCACAACGUGUUUAUCCUUAUUUAUCACCUCCACCAUCACCUGCACCGCCUUGUAUAAGAACUUCCUCCACCCCCUCCCCAAUGUCUACACCUUCUCCCACACCUUACCUCCCACCACCAUCUCCUUCUCCUCCUCCGCCACCAGUGUAUGUUUCUCCACCACCACCACCACCAGUUCAAUACAGUUCGCCGCCCC
rnacentral:lncRNA from 1 species